AUUAAAAUUGCUCAUUAUGAACGAUCAUCAUAUUCUGCCUACAGCAGGACAUGCAGGAGUAAAUAGAAUGUUGAAAACCAUUAAACAACGAUAUACAUGGAAGGGCAUAGAUACAGAUGUACGGAACAUGGUUAAAAAAUGUAAAGAGUGUCAGGUGAACAAAAGAUAAGUGAACCAAAAAUACCAUUAACAAUAACGUCUACUGCUAGCGAGCCCAUGGAAAAAAUAUAUUUAGAUUUGGUAGGACCACUUGUGAAAGUAGAAGGUUGUGAAUAUAUUUUGACAACACAAUGCGAUCUUACUAAAUUCAUCACAGCAACACCUAUUACAGACAAAAGAACGGAAACGGUAGCAAAGGCAUUCGUAGAAAAAGUAAUUCUCAAAUAUGGGAUACCAAAAAUCAUUUGCACGGAUAGAGGAGCAGAGUUUAUGUCAAAACUAUUCAUCGAACUUUGCAAACAACUUAAUAUUGAAAAACUAAAUUCCACGGCAUAUCACCAUGAAAGCAUAGGAGCCUUGGAAAAUUCACAUAAAAUGUUAGGGAAUUUCCUAAGAAUCCAUUGCAAAGACAACCCACUAGCUUGGAAGGAUUGGAUUCAAUUCUAUGAGUUUUCGUACAACAACAUUGUACAUACAGUAACAGGUUAUUCCCCUUUCUUUUUAUUAUAUGGCCGACUGCCUAAUAUUCCUUCGAAUUGCUUAGAAAACCCUAAAAAGGAAAUGCAUUACGAUUUAGACAACUAUAUAAAAACCUUACAAGCUAAAUUGGUAAUUUCACAUCGAGAAGUCAGAGAAAAGCUCAUAAAUAACAAACAUAAGGUAAAAUUAAAGUAUGACCAAACAAGUAAAAUCAAGAUUUUUGAGCCAGGAGAUCAAUGUUUGUUGAGAAAUGAAACGGCUAGUAAGUUAGAGCAACCAUUUUUAGGACCUUAUACUAUUAUUAAAGAAACCGGUCCAAAUGUUGAACUAAAGAUAGGUGAUAGAACAGAAAUCGUCCAUAAAAAUAGGAUUAAGAAAUAUUGUAUGUAAAAAAAAAAAAAAAAAAAAAAAAAAAUUUUUGGUUGGGCGUGUUAUGGCAUUAUGACCAAUAUUGCCAUGACCUGAAACCGUUGUGCACGGUUUAAGCGAUAGCUAUCGCUCUUGACAUGCGGUCAGUUUCAAAUAAAAAGGAAUGCGCAGCUCGCGCUGCGCAUGAUUUAGCGUCCAAGCUCCAACUAAACACAUCGUGUUUAUAUAUUUUGAAAGAACAUAACAAUGAGCCAACUUUCAAUCACCGUAACACGGUUACCUUGAGCGACGGUUGCAAUCGCCUUAGCUGUAUCCGACCGGCAGAUCCUCCGGACCAUCUUUGGCGGUGUGCUGGCUUGCUGAGGAUUACAGAGGACUGUUGAUUGCUGUCGUAAUAGGAUACGAUUACUUUAGCUUAUUAACAGCAUGCUGGCCGUAUAUCCCAGCAAGAAAGGUUACCACAAUAUUUCUCAGUGCGACACGACGUUAGCUGGAUGAAGUGUAGCAUAAUUUGUCUGCGUUACGAUGCAUACUUCGAUGGUGAGCUGCAGCCAGGAUCCGAAAAAUUUGGCAACCUAUAACAAUGGCAGGACUGUGAAAAGGAAGUGCUGAAUCGAAGGAAAGUGAAAUGCUAGUUCUAUUCUAUCAAUUUAAAAUCCGUAAUUUACAAUUGUUUAUACUAUCACUAAAAGGAAAGUCCUUUUCGGAUCUUUGAUACCUUCUGCACAAGAGCUAUGGCUGCUCAUUUUCCGCAAUGUACCGUCCAAUGCUCAGGCGAACUUUCCUGCGCUGCCGUUACACGUUGUCACC